CUGAUCCUACCGGUUAGACACCUGCUCCUACAGGUUAAACACCUGAUCCUACAGGUUAACACCUGAUCCUACCGGUUAAACACCUGAUCCUACAGGUUAAACACCUGAUCCUACAGGUUAAACACCUGAUCCUACAGGUUAACACCUGAUC